rnacentral:lncRNA from 1 species
GAUUUAUUUUAAAGUUAAUUCCAGUCCAUUAAUGCAAAAUAUUUAAAGGAAUGUUUACCGUAGGAUUUUGUAUUAUAUGUUUACACACUCAGUGCACCUCUACAAGAUUUACUUGUGAGUUGAAAGCUAAUUGCACCGUAAAGAAAAACUAUUUAUUAAAUAUUGAGCUUUUUGUUUAUGCAGCUGUUAAUAAGUAAACAAUUUUCAAUUUUGAUUAUGCCAUGUAAUUUUAAAAUUUGUAGUGUUUUAAAGAUGUGAAUGUAUGGGUACUUUUUGGUAGAAAUUCAAUAAUCCUGACUGCUUUUUUCUGCAUGAUAAAUAGAAAAUUGACAACAAAUGCAAGCAUUGGGAGAAACUUUUUUUGGAAAGUGCUGUUUAUGAAAAAAGAUAUGAAUUCAUUAUAAACAGAGCAGCAAAUUUAUGGAACACAUUGGGAACACAGCAAAAUUACGGAGUGCAUUGGAAGUUGUCAAGUCAACAAAUGUAAACAGUUUUGAGAAAAAAUUUGACAAAUUUUUAUUUA